rnacentral:rRNA from 2 species
UACGUAGGGUGCAAGCGUUAAUCGGAAUUACUGGGCGUAAAGCGUACGCAGGCGGCUUUGCAAGACAGGUGUGAAAUCCCCGGGCCUAACCUGGGAACUGCAUUUGUGACUGCAUGGCUAGAGUUUGUCAGAGGGGGGUGGAAUUCCACGUGUAGCAGUGAAAUGCGUAGAUAUGUGGAGGAACACCGAUGGCGAAGGCAGCCCCCUGGGAUGUGACUGACGCUCAUGUACGAAAGCGUGGGGAGCAAACAGG